GAGGAUUUUCCAGUGUGGGUGGCAGCUUCGUUCACUAUGAUGUCCAGCCAUCAGAAAGCCCAAAGAAUUCAAACUGGUUCAAAUGAAGUUCAAACUUUAAAAAUAUAUAAAUAAUUAAAGACCAACCCAACAUCUGCUUUUUUCCAUUCUUACUUCCCCCAACUCUUUCUUCUCCUGUUUCAUUGCCUUUCACAGCCAAAUCAUGGUUUGAGAAAAUAAAUACUUGCAGACUCGAUCUUAUCUCCUGAAGUAAUAAUAGCUGAUUUUGAAGUCAUAGAGAAUUCCUGGAGUCUAUCUCAUGGUCUGUUGAGGAGAACUCUUGGCUUCUGAAAAGAGCUAAGAGUAGGUAUAGUUUGACCCACUGGGAAUACUGGAACCUUAAAAUAAAAAUAUUGAAUGUAUAUACAAAAUAAUAGGCAAAUUCAUUCUCUCCACAUUGGCCCAGGAGCAACUACAUUCCUAUUGCUGCCUCAUCUUGAACUAGGCCCAUGUGGCUGUAAUAGACCGGUGCAUCUGUUUAACAUCAACAGAAAGCAAACAGAAGGGCUGUCAUCUCUUCCAGUUUGAAACAGAUAAAAACAGUGAAUCUACAAAUGGCAAGCUCAUAAGUGCUUUCCUGUGGGGAGAAAUCCUGAAGGGGUCUCUUGCUCCAGGAGCAGCGUGGAGGAGACUUUGAAGCAGGAAUACCACCCCACCCUCACCCACUCACCCAUGUCCGUUUAUUUUGGACAUGCUACAGUAAAUCCUCCCCAAGACAUGCGCUGCUCGUGUUUCAUGAGCUUAACAGAAGGAAUGGCAGAAGUUUGCCCAAAUAAGGUACAUGGGCAGACACCUGAGGCUUUCAACACCUGUUUUAACAAAGAAGAAGAACCCAUCAAGUCAAUUUUUCUGAUCCAGCAAACAGCAUAGGUCUGGGAGUCAAAAAGCCUGGUAGCACAUAGCCUCUCAACUACUUAUUACCUUCCCUGACACAUUUGUCCAUCCUGGAUGUCCAUUGAUUCAUCAUAAAGGAUUGUCGAAAGAAUUAAAUGAGCCAGCGUAAAAGCAAUCAUUCUCUUUAUGAUCGCUCCUUCAAGUCAGACUCCAAGCCACUCGUAAAAGAAAGAAAAAAGCCUGGAAGGAGAGGCCUGCAGCAAAGUGAGGUGUCUCCUUUUAUGAGCAGUGCCCUGGGAUAGCUCCAAACCCAAAAGCUAAGUGCCCUGAAGACAGUCCCCAAAUAGGAUGUUAUAGAGAUGAAUGAAGCAAUGUUUCCAAGAUGCUUGGAGGUCUGGGAUGAAAAUCUGCUGAAACAGAGCAAAAAGCUAAGUCGUGAUCAGCCUUGCAUACAGCGGAAUGUAGAUCCUCGUCAUCGGAUUUGGACCCAGUGUAGACAGCACCUGAGCAUCAGUCAACUCCACCUUCUAAAGCCUGUGUUUAGCCACUGCAUCAAAAAGCAAAAGUACCAAUGGACAUUCUUCACCCUGGUUCAGCGUUUCUUCAGCCAAGUGCUUACUCAAGGAACCAAGAAUAAGAGAUAACAAUUUUUUAAAUAUGCAGAAACCCACCAAUAUGAAAAAAGAAGAUUGAAGGCCUUAUAAAAUAUAAAUGUUUCCUCACUGGUGACAGCCCUGCCACUAUUAAGCAUUGGUAUAUUAGUCCCCAAGACAUUUACUGCCAUCUGUUGGAAAAUUAGUAGAAUGAAUACAUUAAUCUAAGAUGACCACAAACAUACAUGUCAUCACAUAGUUUUGUGUAGUGUACAAUCUACAACAUACGAGGAUGCAAACCAAAAGUUUUGAGAAGGGAUAAUCAUGCUUAAAAUAAGCCCCACAGACAAUAUUAUUACCAUUAUUUUUCAUUGAUAAUGUAUUCAAUUAGAUAGUAGACAUUUGAGGAAAUGACAAAUAAGAAAGAUCUAAUUGUGACAUAAUUUAUUCAAUAAUUCAUUUAUACAGAAAAUAUUUAUCAAGUGUCUAUAAUGAGUCGAGCUUUAUUCUGGGAUCUAGUUAUAGAGCAAUGAAUAAAUAACACAGACAAAAUUAUCUCCCCUUACAGAGUUUCUGUGGGGAAAAACAAUAAAGUUUAGAUAAGUAUGUCAUUUAUGAGAUAGUAAUAAUUGCUAAAGACAAAAAGUCAAGGAUAAGAAAUACAAAAAUGUUGGGUGAUAAGUAGUUUGAGAAAAAACUUAGGAAGUUCACACAGUGGGGAAUAGUUUGUGUCACUUUAGUCAUAAUGAAAGGCCUUAUCAUAUAUAGGCAUCAAACAGUCUUCAAAAGAAUAUUGCCUUAGUACUGGGGCUACAUUGACUCUAAACCAAAAGCUGCUCUGACCUGCCCUAACAAAGUUCAAAACAAAGACUUGAAAGAAUGCAACUAAUCCCAACUAACUUGACUUUAUGCCAGAACAAAAUCCAACAUGAUUUAAAGAAAAACAACCAAAUUCAGCAAACAGCAAUAAAAAUUUCACAAUGCUUGGUAUCCAAUCAAGUAUAAUUAGUUUUGCAAAGUAGGAAAAUUUAUCCAAAACCAAGAAAAAAUUAAUAAAAGCAGAUUUUAAAAGAUCAGAGCUGAUAAAAUUAGGAGACAGAGACAUUGAGACAGCCAGGCUAAGUAUAUCCAAUGUGUUUAAGAAAAUAGAUGAAUAUAUAAGAAUCAAGAGAAAAGAAAUGGUAGAUUUUUUUAGAUGAUAUUAAAAGUAGAUUUGACACUGUAAAAUAAAUAAUCAAUGAACUUAAAAAUAUAAAAAUAAAUAAAGUGCAGAGAGAAAAAAUAAAAAUAAAGAUCAGAGUAUCCAUGUCCUGAGAGAAUAUCAAAUAGUCUAACAUUUGUGUAAUUGGUGUCCUAGAAGGGUAAUGUGCAGAAAAAGACACUAAUAAAAUAAAAUAAAUCACUAACAUUUUCCAAAUUUGGUGAAAACUAUAAAAUUUCCUGUACUGGGUUGAAUAGUGUGUCUCCCUCCCAAACUCAAGAAACACACACACCAAAUUCAUGUCCAUCCAGAACCUGUGACAGUGACCUUAGCUCGAAAUAGGGUUUUUGUAGAUGUAAUCAAGUUAAGAAGAGUUAAUGCUAAACUAAGAUGUACCCUAAUCUAGUGACUUGUGUCCUUGUAAAAACAGGAAAAUUUGUGCACAGAAAUAUGUGAAGAGGUCAUGUGAAGACAUAAACAGAUAUUGGAGUAAGGUAUCUACAAGCCAAGGAACACUAAAAAUUACUAGCAACCACCAGAACCAAGAAGAGACAAGGAAGGAGUCUUCCCUAGACCCUUCAGAGGGAGCAUGGCCCUGCCAAAAUCUUGAUUUCAGACUU
rnacentral:lncRNA from 1 species